UAGUAUUGCCAGCUAUUCUGUCUUCUGAAAAAGAAAAGUGCGUUUUUUAAAUAAUACUUUAUAAAAACAAUUUAAAAAUUUUUAAAACUGGUUUUAUCAUUUCAAGCUUUCUAUGAUCUAAAAAAAAUUGUUACUUAUAACAUCUAUUAAUAAGUGCAUUAAACCAUUUACAAGCUCAAUAUUUCAAAAAUGUGCUAACAAGACUUACUGAUGGACUGGGCAAUAGCAGCUUC